rnacentral:SRP_RNA from 1 species
GCUGGGUGUGAUGGCUCACGCCUGUAAUCCCAGCACAUUGGGAGGCCGAGGCAGGUGGAUUGCUUGAGGCCAGGAGUUUGAGACCAGCCUGGCCAACAUAGUGAAACCCUGUCUCUA